UACGAAGGGGGCUAGCGUUGCUCGGAAUGACUGGGCGUAAAGGGCGCGUAGGCGGAUGACACAGUCAGAUGUGAAAUUCCCGGGCUUAACCUGGGGGCUGCAUUUGAUACGUGUUGUCUGGAGUGAGGAAGAGGGUUGUGGAAUUCCCAGUGUAGAGGUGAAAUUCGUAGAUAUUGGGAAGAACACCGGUGGCGAAGGCGGCAACCUGGUCCUUGACUGACGCUGAGGCGCGAAAGCGUGGGGAGCAAACAGG
rnacentral:rRNA from 1 species